CCUGAUGAAAUGUGAGGCUUUGCUGGUCUGGCUGCGGUGCCACUCGUACAACAGUUGGUAGCAGAGAAGAGAGAGGCUCAGUAGCUCAGUAUUCUGACCUAUGAACAACUGAAUGAAUGACCACUAUCCUAACAUU